UAGACAAAAGCCUGCUGGUUCGGGGCAUCUAGCUGUUAAUUAGAGUUUUGUGGGAUCGAGGCCCACUUGUCUAG
rnacentral:tRNA from 2 species